AAAAGACUCUUGCCAGACCGCCACCAAGCCACCGUCAGGGAUACCAGCCAUGUGCAGCCUAUCAAGCCGGCCAGGGUCACCAAGGUCCUGAGCAGGACCAGCUCUCAUGGACGGUGCACGCAGGUGUGCAUGGAAUUUAUGGACCACACAGGCUGCUCCAUCAUCUGCAGUGUAAAAGGGCCCAUGCGCGAGGGCGACAUGCUCACCCUGUUGGAGUCAGACCAGGUGGCCCGGAGGUUGCGCUGCGCUUGGCUGCUCACUGGGUCUUGGAUGUUGGGUUCAACCACUUGGCUGAUGGGAAUGGUAUGUUACGAUCUGCUCCUUUAUUUUGUGCCGCCACACAUAAAUUGAGAUGCAACUUUAAAUAAAGUGUUUGUGUUCCAAGUUAAAAAAAAAAAAAA